rnacentral:rRNA from 1 species
UACGGAGGGUGCAAGCGUUAUUCGGAAUUACUGGGCGUAAAGCGUACGUAGGCGGCGAGGUAAGUCAGGUGUGAAAUCCCACGGCUCAACCGUGGAACUGCACUUGAAACUGCUUUGCUCGAGUACUGGAGGGGAUGGCGGAAUUCCUGGUGUAGGAGUGAAAUCCGUAGAUAUCAGGAGGAACACCGGUGGCGAAGGCGGCCAUCUGGACAGUAACUGACGCUGAGGUACGAAAGCGUGGGGAGCAAACAGG